rnacentral:tRNA from 1 species
GGGCUAUUAGCUCAGGUGGUUAGAGCGCACCCCUGAUAAGGGUGAGGUCCCUGGYUCGAGUCCAGGAUGGCCCA